ensembl:snRNA U6 U6 spliceosomal RNA
GAUGUACAUUCCACACCACAUUUACUAAAAUUCAAUGACACAGAGAAGUUUAGUAUAGCCCUUGUGAAAGUAUGACAUGCAAUUUUAUAAAGUGUUUAACUUUUUC